rnacentral:rRNA from 1 species
UUGAAAGGGAAACGAUUGAAGUCAGUCGUACCGACGAGAAAUCAGCUUAUCGUGUGUUAACUUGUGGGCGUGCGUGAGUUUCGGCCUCGCUGUUUGCAUGUUUGUGCACUUUGGGUGUACUUUUUCGUAUGGUUGGCCAACAUCAGUUUCGAUUACUAUAAAAUGACUGGCGGAAUGUAGCUUCGAUUUCGGUUGAAGUGUUAUAGCCUCUGGUAGAUGUGGUGAUUGAGACUGAGGAUUGCAACGAAUAUCCUUUGGGCUAUCCGCCUGGCCUCUGAAAGUUGCUUAGGUGCUGAAAGUUUGCUUAUGAUUAUCUAAGUUAACGGUUGAUAGGUUAGAACGUGAUUACAUUCGUUAAGGAUGUUGACGUA